UACGUAGGGUGCAAGCGUUGUCCGGAAUUAUUGGGCGUAAAGAGCGCGCAGGCGGUCGUUCAAGUCGCGUGUGAAAGCCCCCGGCUCAACUGGGGAGGGUCACGCGAUACUGAUCGACUUGAAGGCAGGAGAGGGUAGUGGAAUUCCCGGUGUAGUGGUGAAAUGCGUAGAUAUCGGGAGGAACACCAGUGGCGAAGGCGACUACCUGGCCUGUUCUUGACGCUGAGGCGCGAAAGCUAGGGGAGCAAACGGG
rnacentral:rRNA from 1 species